rnacentral:rRNA from 1 species
UACGUAGGGGGCUAGCGUUGUCCGGAAUCAUUGGGCGUAAAGCGCGCGUAGGCGGCCCGGUAAGUCCGCUGUAAAAGUCAAAGGCUCAACCUUUGAAUGUCAGUGGAUACUGCCCGGGCUAGAGUCCGGAAGAGGCGAGUGGAACUCCUGGUGUAGCGGUGGAAUGCGCAGAUAUCAGGAAGAACACCGACGGCGAAGGCAGCUCGCUGGACGGUACUGACGCUGAGGCGCGAAAGCCAGGGGAGCGAACGGG